AGAAUGAACGUUGGCGGCGCGGAUUAGGCAUGCAAGUCGAGCGCGAACCAGUCUUCGGACUGGGGACAGCGGCGAACGGGGUAGGAAUACCUCGGUGACGUACCCCCCGGUCGGGGAUAGCGGCGGGAAACUGCCGGUAAUACCCGAUGAUCUGCCCAAGUUUUACGACAGGGGCAGCAAAGGUGUGAUUCCGUCGGGGGAGCGGCUGAGGUCGUAUUAGCUGGUUGGUGAGGUAACGGCUCACCAAGGCGAUGAUGCGUAAGGGGUGUGAGAGCAUCGGCCCCCACCACUGGCACUGAGACACUGGCCAGACACCUACGGGUGGCUGCAGUCGAG
rnacentral:rRNA from 1 species